UACGUAGGUGGCAAGCGUUGUCCGGAUUUAUUGGGUUUAAAGGGUGCGUAGGCGGUCUUUUAAGUCAGUGCUGAAAUACUCCAGCUUAACUGGAGGGGUGGCAUUGAUACUGGAAGACUUGAGUAUAGUUGAGGUAGGCGGAAUUCCUGGUGUAGCGGUGAAAUGCGCAGAUAUCUGGAGGAACACCGGUGGCGAAGGCGGCAUCCUGGACCGGCAUUGACGCUGAGGCGCGAAAGCCAGGGGAGCAAACGGG
rnacentral:rRNA from 1 species